rnacentral:rRNA from 1 species
CAGUAGCCGCGGUAAUACGGAGGGAGCUAGCGUUAUUCGGAAUUACUGGGCGUAAAGCGCACGUAGGCGGCUUUGUAAGUAAGAGGUGAAAGCCCAGAGCUCAACUCUGGAAUUGCCUUUUAGACUGCAUCGCUUGAAUCAUGGAGAGGUCAGUGGAAUUCCGAGUGUAGAGGUGAAAUUCGUAGAUAUUCGGAAGAACACCAGUGGCGAAGGCGGCUGACUGGACAUGUAUUGACGCUGAGGUGCGAAAGCGUGGGGAGCAAACAGGAUUAGAUACCCCCGUAGUCCCUGUCUCUUAUAC